rnacentral:rRNA from 1 species
AAUUACAGAAAUAUUUUAAAAUUUAAGCCCGAUCCUGUCUGAUCUUGGAAGCUAAGCAGGGUCGGAAGCUAAGCAGGGUCGGGCCUGGUUAGUACAUGAAUGGGAGGCCACCUAGGAAUACCAGGUGCUGUAGGCG